CUAAGAUCAACUAACUUGUUGGUGGCAAAUGAAAGAUCCAGAGUUUUACGUCGGCUUUAAUUACUCAAAUGUCUUGGCCGCCCCUUCAAAACCUAGCCCGUACCCCUGGCUAUGAUGGAGAAGCCAAUGCCCUUGGCAAUGAUGGAGAUGGACAUAAUGUCCACAAAAGCUCUGGUCUACCGAUUCAUUAUGAGGCUAACCGUUAAAUCACCUUCCUCGCACGCACCACUACAAUCAAAUGCCGGAUUCUCGGCGG
rnacentral:lncRNA from 1 species